rnacentral:SRP_RNA from 1 species
CCCGGUAAGCAGCGUUGAUGGUUGGGUCCUGCGCGACCUGGAGCCGUGAACCCGGUCAGGCCCGGAAGGGAGCAGCCGUAAGCGGUGUACCUCGUGUGCCGCAGGGUCGCCCGACCGGAGCCGGCUGCCGGG